rnacentral:lncRNA from 1 species
GGAGAGGGCAAUGUAAAACUACGUAGUCCAACCAACCCACUUUACUAGGAAAAUUUAAUGGCUUCGAUUUUUCAGAUACAGAAUCACUGGCUUUACUAUUGAUGAGAGAGUAAGUUGUAGAAUUGUCAUGUCAACAGAUCUCACUAUGCAACGGAUUUUGCUCAGCAUGACAAAUGCAGAAUGUUAUUUAUGUGUUUAUUCUUCCAUGAGCAUUCAAAAGCAAUCAGAUGAUACCAUUGUUUUACUAGAUUUCGGUGAUGCCAAUGUCUCUAUUGAGUAGGCCAUCUAACCAUCUGAUUGCUACAGCAAGGUAGUAUUUCGACUCCUGAAAUUACAAUUAAAGGAUUAUUUUACAAGGACGCAAUAAACCGAAUGACUUAUUUUAUUUAUAACCAUGCAAAGUCAUUAAUGGAUUAUCAUAAGAGAAAAUUAUUUAUUUACUUUCCAAUUUUGACAUUUAUUUUAGGAAACAUAAUUAAGGGUUUGAUUUAAUAACUUUUAUUAUAUAUUUUCUACUUGGAAUAGGAGUCUUGAAACCCUGUAUAAAGGGUCUUAUGCGAUGUAAUUCAAACAAUUUUGAUGGUGAAAUAAAUUGAUAUUCGAUCCCAAAUUCUAUCUAUUCUCUCCCUCUUAUUCUCUCUUUUCAGCUUCUGAAAAUGCUAUGCAAGGAUGAGACUGUAGGAUAUUGAAAGGAACCAAAGUUUUGUAAAUCCUUCCACAAAAUACAUAGAUUCUCCAUGUUGAAAUCGAAGAGAAGAUUCAAAAGGCCGAAGCGUAUCUUGAUCCAUAGUUGUUAGUAUUCCGAACGGGUUAAGAUCUUCCAACUGUUACGUGAUUUCUUGAAAUCUUCUUCUCUGUUGAUGGAGAUGCAGAGAACUGUGAAUUCACGUCCAAUUGGGGACCAUAACCCCAUAAUAAAUAACUGUAAGUUGGCAGUUAUUAAUUUUGUGUUAUUUCAAAUCGGCUCCUCAUCAAUUUAAAAUAACAUUCUCAAGUCUCAACACUUCAUUCCCAUAACAUUUAAUAGACCUUUAGUUCAAAAAAUAAACUUAAUAGAUAUCAACUAAACUUUAAAAUGGCACCACACAUUUUAAUAUGUAAACAUGUGAGGCCACAUACGUUGGAAUUUUUCCAACAGAGACUAGCAUGAAAAUAAUUGUUUCCUGAAACUGAAAGAUUUGUGUUUUUGUCAAGACACCAGGAAGAUUGAGAAGAAAAAUAUAUGAAGUUUCGGUAUCCAAUUCGUGCACUGCUUUUUAUCAUCAC